rnacentral:rRNA from 1 species
GAUGAACGCUGGCGGCGUGCCUAAUACAUGCAAGUCGAGCGAACAGACGAGGAGCUUGCUACUCUGACGUUAGCGGCGGACGGGUGAGUAACACGUGGAUAACCUACCUAUAAGACUGGGAUAACUUCGGGAAACCGGAGCUAAUACCGGAUAAUAUAUUGAACCGCAUGGUUCAAUAGUGAAAGACGGUUUUGCUGUCACUUAUAGAUGGAUCCGCGCCGCAUUAGCUAGUUGGUAAGGUAACGGCUUACCAAGGCAACGAUGCGUAGCCGACCUGAGAGGGUGAUCGGCCACACUGGAACUGAGACACGGUCCAGACUCCUACGGGAGGCAGCAGUAGGGAAUCUUCCGCAAUGGGCGAAAGCCUGACGGAGCAACGCCGCGUGAGUGAUGAAGGUCUUCGGAUCGUAAAACUCUGUUAUUAGGGAAGAACAAAUGUGUAAGUAACUAUGCACGUAUUGACGGUACCUAAUCAGAAAGCCACGGCUAACUACGUG